GACGAACGCUGGCGGCGUGCUUAACACAUGCAAGUCGAACGGAAAGGCCCUGCUUUUGUGGGGUGCUCGAUUGGCGAACGGGUGAGUAACACGUGUGUAACCUGCCCUUGACUUUCGGAUAACUUCAGGAAACUGGGGCUAAUAUCGUAUAGGAGCUCCUGCUGCGUGGUGGGGGUUGGAAAGUUGCGGCGGUUGGGGAUGGACUCGCGGGUUAUCAGCUUGUUGGUGGGGUAGUGGUUUACCAAGGCUUUGACGGGUAGCCGGCAUGAGAGGGUGACCGGGGUCAAUAGGACUACGGUAGGGAGCAGACUGCAACGUGAGGCAACGGGGGGGAGUAUGGCACAGUGAGAGCAAGCGUGUUACGAAGGCGUCGCGUGCGGGAUGACCGCCUGCGGGGUGAGAACAGCUGUCGCCUGUGACGAAGCGUGAGUGACGGUAAUGGAUAAAGAAGCACCGGCUAACUACGUG
rnacentral:rRNA from 1 species